rnacentral:rRNA from 1 species
AUUGAACGCUGGCGGCAGGCUUAACACAUGCAAGUCGAGCGGAGUGAUGGUGCUUGCACUAUCACUUAGCGGCGGACGGGUGAGUAAUGCUUAGGAAUCUGCCAUUUAGUGGGGGACAACAUUCCGAAAGGAAUGCUAAUACCGCAUACGUCCUACGGGAGAAAGCAGGGGAUCUUCGGACCUUGCGCUAAAUGAUGAGCCUAAGUCGGAUUAGCUAGUUGGUGGGGUAAAGGCCCACCAAGGCGACGAUCUGUAGCGGGUCUGAGAGGAUGAUCCGCCACACUGGGACUGAGACACGGACCAGACUCCUACGGGAGGCAGCAGUGGGGAAUAUUGGACAAUGGGCGGAAGCCUGAUCCAGCCAUGCCGCGUGUGUGAAGAAGGCCUUUUGGUUGUAAAGCACUUUAAGCGAGGAGGAGGCUACUAGUACUAAUACUACUGGAUAGUGGACGUUACUCGCAGAAUAAGCACCGGCUAACUCUGUGCCAGCAGCCGCGGUAACAC